AAAUUAAAUAUUUUUUGUGCGAAACAUCCUGUUUCUUCAUUUGUUUUACUCUUUUGUGUGCUUGUUUCUCAUUGCAACUAUUCGAUGGUUGUUUUUCAUUUCAAUAUUAACAAUAUAAUUGAAAUGGCAGAAAAUAAAAAUUUGUGCCCAAAAAUCAUAAAAAUAACUGCAUUGGUUCUAGCAUUUAUAUUGUUAGUGAAAACAUUUCUCUGUUUUCUUUUGUCAUUUGCCAUACUCGAAGAACUGCCUGAGGAUUGGCCACAAAGGCUUAAGAUGACUGCCAUCCCAAAUGGUAUAGUUGGUUCUCGCUAAUUCUGAACGCUGUUGGUGUUGUGGUCUAUUCUUAUAUGUAUUUUGACACACAAAAUUAACCUCUUGGUGGGACUUAUUGGGGUAACUACUUACCUCAUAGUUUCCGUAACAGCUCAUAUCAUAUUGUGGAUAGAACAGACAAAAACACAUAUGAUGAUGCAAUUAAAUUGGAUGGGAACCGUCCAUUAUCCUACAUUCACUACCGAAGAAUUAUUGCCAAUGAGCGAAUGCAAGAAAUGGAGGAGAGAAAAUCAUCAGAAAGUAAGCAAGGAUGAACUAUAUAUGAAAUUAUUGACAAUAUAUAGAUACAUAUCACGGUUUCAAUAUUUUAAC